rnacentral:tRNA from 1 species
GCGGGUAUCGUACAGUGGUAGUACAUCAGCCUUCCAAGCUGAGGAUGCGGGUUCGAUUCCCGCUACCCGCU